GACGAACGCUGGCGGCGUGCUUAACACAUGCAAGUCGAACGGAAAGGCCCUGCUUUUGUGGGGUGCUCGAGUGGCGAACGGGUGAGUAACACGUGAGUAACCUGCCCUUGACUUUGGGAUAACUUCAGGAAACUGGGGCUAAUACCGGAUAGGAGCUCCUGCUGCAUGGUGGGGGUUGGAAAGUUUCGGCUGUUGGGGAUGGACUCGCGGCUUAUCAGCUUGUUGGUGGGGUAGUGGCUUACCAAGGCUUUGACGGGUAGCCGGCCUGAGAGGGUGACCGGCCACAUUGGGACUGAGAUACGGCCCAGACUCCUACGGGAGGCAGCAGUGGGGAAUAUUGCACAAUGGGCGGAAGCCUGAUGCAGCAACGCCGCGUGCGGGAUGACGGCCUUCGGGUUGUAAACCGCCUUCGCCUGUGACGAAGCGUGAGUGACGGUAAUGGGUAAAGAAGCACCGGCUAACUACGUG
rnacentral:rRNA from 1 species